AGAGCGUGGUUAUUGAAAUCAUUCAGCGCUUGUCAACUUUCACUUGAUGCUUUAAAAGUAACUGUAGUUGUCAAAGACACAAUAUGUGACUGCUGCAUUAAAACAAAAAAGGACAGCGUCUUCGCCAGAAAGUACUGAGGCCAGACACUCAUGAUAUACAGGCCCAAGCUGUCUUGACAGUUUCAAGCUGGGAUAUAAACGUGCAUGUUAUUUCAAGAUCGGAUGAAACAAGUAAAGCAAGGUCUGCUGGUGAGAUGUUUUCUCUCCUGUUGUGUCUCUCGGGUUUAAUCAAUGGAGAGCUGUGUGGGUGACUAUGAGAGGCCCUUUGGUUCUUUGAAAAUGCCGGGGGGGCGGGAGCAGGGGCUGCGUGGAGGCGUUGGGGGCUACUGAUGAAGAUGAAGCUGUCUGGCUGUGUCACAAGGGGCUGUUCCACCACAUUCUGACUGAGGGAAGAGAUGGAGAGCGAAUGAAAGAGUGAGAAAGAGUGCCUAAUCCAUCACAGGAAGGGAGGACUGACACAACAAAAGACAGAGUGCGGAGCAAGGCUUUUUGGCGGCUAGGGCCGAGGCAACUUCGACAAUAUUUUUUGGCGCCUGUCAGGCUGUCUAAUAAAGCAGAGCUGGAAUAUGAACUAUCUCUCACUGCUGUAAUACGCCUCAUAAAUCAGAUUUAAUUACGCGGUGUGGGGACAGGCAGUGGGAGCCCUGGCUGGAUUUAUGGGGCCUUGACUUGGCAUCUUAACAACUUUGGGCUUUUAAUAUCAUUACACUGUCAUCUAUUUUGCCUCCUGCCACAGAG